rnacentral:rRNA from 1 species
UGAACGCUGGCGGCAGGCCUAACACAUGCAAGUCGAGCGGAUGACGGGAGCUUGCUCCUUGAUUCAGCGGCGGACGGGUGAGUAAUGCCUAGGAAUCUGCCUGGUAGUGGGGGACAACGUUUCGAAAGGAACGCUAAUACCGCAUACGUCCUACGGGAGAAAGCAGGGGACCUUCGGGCCUUGCGCUAUCAGAUGAGCCUAGGUCGGAUUAGCUUGUUGGUGAGGUAAUGG